rnacentral:sRNA from 1 species
UCAUGUUUAACAGCUUUUGUUCAUAUUCGGUUUUAUUAGUAAAGAAGAUUUUUCAUGUUCAAGCAGAGGCUCCAAGCAAUCUUUGUUACGGAACAUUACAGAAGACAAGUGACGAUUCAAAAACUGAACUCCAUUACCAAUCGAAGACGAACGAGAAGGACGUAGCACGUUUGCAUUGUUUUCAUUCUCAAUUCUCGCCGUAACAGAGUCUCACAAAAGUCGAAGAGCUAAUGAUGAUGAGAGUUUUUUUUUGAUGAUACAUUCUUUCCACAAUCUCUCUAUUUUAUGUGGGAGUUUUCAUGACUUUUGUUAUGAAGAAAAUUAUGUACAAUCAAUCCUAAACCAAUAACAUAAUAUUUUAAGUUAUCAACAAUCCAAGAUUCUUUUGUUUUAAUU